UUGACUUAUAUUUUAAUGAACUGUGAACUCUGUUCUCCAAACUUGGUAGGAGCAAUGUCGUAUGGUCGAGGUUCUCUUAAAGUGAGCGCCUUAGGCAUUUUACAUAGGUAUAUAAGAACGUCAGCACUGUAUUAUCAAAUAUAUAAAAUCAAUAUUUUGCAGGUUUUGACAUACAAUGCAGCGCUGUUAGAGUCUAGCUUAGCUAACGAUAACAACCAAGCUAUUCCAAAUAAUCGUGAAGAAAGGCGAGAUGCACUUAUACAGUACUUAAACGAAGAAUCAAGCGCUGAUCUUGUCUGUACUGCAAGAGGGCCAUCCUGUGACCCUGAAGCUUUCAAUGCAUUGUCUACCUGCACUUUUGGCAGCGGAUGUUUGACAGGUGCGGAAACAGCACAAUUUUCUUCAACAUCGUAUUUUUGCAUUAUUACAAACUGUGGGGCAGAGUUCAACAAAGUCCUUGCCAUAAAUGGAGAAAAGGUGCGCGGGUGCUCCCUCUCCACUUCUUUGGAAUAUGAAUAAACUAGGGCUUGUACUGCUGUCCAAAAAGGCUCUAUCUGACCCUGUCGCUGUGGAAUUUUACCCAGAUGAUAUAGAUACCUUUGUCCGUGGAUAUCUUUAAGUUAAAUCCCACCUUUUAAUACUCAAUUUUCUACGUUGGAGGAACAGAAUGCAGCUGAAAUACAGCAGUUGGUAAAUAGAUUGCGGAAUAUUGACCCCUUAAUUAUGCUUGGUGAUUUUAACGCUGGGCCCAGAGCAAGGUUCAUCAAUCCAUUUGAACAACCUUCCUACGAUGUCCUUGCCUCUGUCUUCACAACGAUGUUGGUAAGAGAACCCACGUAUUCUGCAGAUAACCCAUACAACGGUGGAACAUCAGCUCCAGAUGUGGCAAUAGACCAUGUGUUUGGUAGUCGGAAUGUCAAAAUCUUGAAUGCCGAGGUUGUGCUUAAGGAAGACCAUAUCUCUGUGGGGGAACAGAGACUACCAUUGCGUGACCAUUACGGUGUCGAGGCAUUUAUAAAAGUGUGUAGAACAAGGAGGCGAUACACAAAAUAUCAAAACAGACGUGUAACUAU
rnacentral:misc_RNA from 1 species